UAUCUCUGUAGAGUCUGCAUAUCAAUAAGCGGAGGAAAAGAAACUAACUAGGAUUCCCUCAGUAACGGCGAGUGAAGCGGGAAGAGCUCAAAUUUGAAGUCUUCAAGGUUUUACCUUGACGAAUUGUAGUUUAAAGAAGUGUUUUCUGUUGAAGUUUCGGUAAAAGUUCUUUGGAAUAGGACAUCAUAGAGGGUGAGAAUCCCGUAUUUGACCAUUAUUUCCAGCUUUGUGAUACACUUUCAAAGAGUCGGAUUGUUUGGGAAUGCAGUCCAAAAUGGGUGGUAAAUUUCAUCUAAAGCUAAAUAUUGGCGAGAGACCGAUAGCGAACAAGUACCGUGAGGGAAAGAUGAAAAGAACUUUGAAAAGAGAGUUAAACAGUACGUGAAAUUGUCAAAAGGGAAGCGUUUGACACCAGUGUUGUUUUCUCGAAAAUCAAUUAAAAAAGGCAGGAUUUUGUGUUGUAUUGACUCUUAUCAGCUUUCUGCACUCUUUUUCAUGUCUUUUUUAAUGCACUUUUCGUUUAACAAGUCAACAUCAAUUUCUUUUGUUGUAAAAGGGUCAUUGGAAGGUGGCUUUCUUUUCGGAGAAAGUGUUUAUAGCCUUUGGCCUCUGCAAUCGGAGAGAUUGAGGUCUGCAGCGUAGAUCCUUCGGGGUUAGAUACAUUUGUGCUAAGUUAUAGCCUUUCAUAGACAACUUGUUGACUAUGAUCAGUCAUGUAGCUUACUCGCUUAUGCUAUUUUACCUACGCUUAGGAUGUUGAGUCAUCACACAUCUCU
rnacentral:rRNA from 1 species